UACUAUUAGUUAAAGCUCAGUUCCCUGGCCUUUUAGUUCGGUUGAUCUUUCGUUAGUCCGGUUGAUCUUGUAUUUCUAUUAGACUCGUUGAUCUCAUUAGUCUGGUUGAACCUGUUAUUAGCAUGGUGAAAAGGAAUCAUUUUAAAGUUUUGAUUAUACUUCUCCUUCUAGUGCUCCUUUCAGGAUUGGGCUGAGGAAGAAGCAAAGAGAAUUGGAAGGAGAAGCAUCGUGAAAGAUGCUAUACAUAACUCUCACUAGAAGGGGCUGAUUCAUCCAGUGUCUUUUCCGUUUUGCCUUCUGCAUGAACAGUGUGCUUUUAUAGACCUGAGGUCGGCCUAGUGCUUCAAAUGAGCUGGAGUUUACAGUAAUGUACAUGAGAAAAUUAGAAA